ensembl:lncRNA
CGAGGCUAUAUGCAGGGGGUACCGGUACAGAGUCAAUGUGGAGGCUAUAUACAGGGUGUACCGGUACAGAGUCAAUGUGGAGGCUACAUACAGGGGGUACCGGUACAGAGUCAAUGUGGAGGCUAUAUACAGGUGGUACCGGUACAGAGUCAAUGUGGAGACUAUAUACAGGGGGUACCGGUACAGAGUCAAUGUGGAGGCUACAUACAGGGGGUACCAGUACAGAGUCAAUGUGGAGGCUAUAUACAGGGGGUACCGGUACAGAGUCAGUGUGGAGGCUAUAUACAGGGGAUACCGGUACAGUGUCAAUGUGGAGGCUAUAUACAGGGGGUACCGGUACAGAGUCAAUGUGGAGGCUAUAUACAGGGGUACCGGUACAGAGUCAAUGUGGAGGCUAUAUACAGGGUGUUACGGUACAGAGUCAAUGUGGAGGCUAUAUACAGGGGGUACCGGUACAGAGUCAAUGUGGAGACUAUAUACAGGGGGUACUGGUACAGAGUCAAUGUGGAGGCUAUAUACAGGGGUACCGGUACAGAGUCAAUGUGGAGACUAUAUACAGGGGGUACUGGUACAGAGUCAAUGUGGAGGCUAUAGACAGGGGGUACCAGUACAGAGUCAAUGUGGAGGCUAUAUACAGGGGUACCGGUACAGAGUCAAUGUGGAGGCUAUAUACAGGGGUACCGGUACAGAGUCAAUGUGGAGGCUAUAUACAGGGGUACCGGUACAGAGUCAAUG